rnacentral:rRNA from 1 species
AACGAACGCUGGCGGCGCGCCUAAUACAUGCAAGUCGAGCGAGAAGGUGUAGCAAUACACUUGUAAAGCGGCGAACGGGUGAGGAAUACAUGGGUAACCUACCCUCGAGUGGGGAAUAACUAGCCGAAAGGUUAGCUAAUACCGCAUACGAUUCCAGGACUUCGGUCCUGGAAGGAAAGCACUACCGUGGGUAGUGCGCUCCUGGAUGGGCUCAUGUCCUAUCAGCUUGUUGGNGAGGUAAAGGCUCACCAAGGCUUCGACGGGUAGCUGGUCUGAGAGGACGAUCAGCCACACUGGCACUGCGACACGGGCCAGACUCCUACGGGAGGCAGCAGUAAGGAAUAUUGCGCAAUGGGCGAAAGCCUGACGCAGCGACGCCGC